rnacentral:rRNA from 1 species
AUACGGAGGACGCGAGCGUUAUCCGGAUUCAUUGGGUUUAAAGGGUGCGCAGGCGGCCGUGCAAGUCAGCGGUGAAAGCCCGGGGCCCAACCCCGGAAGUGCCGUUGAUACUGCAUGGCUUGAAUGCGGUCGAGGCGGGCGGGACGUGGCGGGUGGCGGGGAAAUGCGUAGAUAUGCCACAGAAAGCCGAUAGCGGAGGCAGCUCGCCAGGCCUGCAUUGACGCUCGGGCACGAAAGCGUGGGGAUCGAACAGGAUUAGAUCCCCUGGUAGUCCACGCCGUAAACGAUGGGCGCUCGUCGUCGGCGGCAGACAGUCGGCGGCCAAGCGAAAGCGAUAAGCGCCCCACCUGGGGAGUACGGUCGCAAGGCUGAAACUCAAAUGAAUUGACGGGG